rnacentral:rRNA from 1 species
UAAUGCCGGAUGUUCCACAUGAUCGCAUGUGAUUGUGGGAAAGAUUCUAUCGGCGUGGGAUGGGGUCGCGUCCUAUCAGCUUGUUGGUGAGGUAACGGCUCACCAAGGCUUCGACGGGUAGCCGGCCUGAGAGGGCGACCGGCCACAUUGGGACUGAGAUACGGCCCAGACUCCUACGGGAGGCAGCAGUGGGGAAUAUUGCACAAUGGGCGCAAGCCUGAUGCAGCGACGCCGCGUGAGGGAUGGAGGCCUUCGGGUUGUAAACCUCUUUUGUUUGGGAGCAAGCCUUCGGGUGAGUGUACCUUUCGAAUAAGCGCCGGCUAACUACGUGCCAGCAGCCGCGGUAAUACGUAGGGCGCAAGCGUUAUCCGGAUUUAUUGGGCGUAAAGGGCUCGUAGGCGGCUCGUCGCGUCCGGUGUGAAAGUCCAUCGCUUAACGGUGGAUCUGCGCCGGGUACGGGCGGGCUGGAGUGCGGUAGGGGAGACUGGAAUUCCCGGUGUAACGGUGGAAUGUGUAGAUAUCGGAAAA